rnacentral:lncRNA from 10 species
AUUUUUCAGCCCUUGCCAGAACGGUGGUGCAGUGAUGUAUUACCUGCCAACAGCACAAUGUGAGGCAGGGUCCAGCCGUUCUGCCCAGCAUACAACUUGAGGGAGCAGCCCCUUUUGAAGACCUCCAGGUGGACUUCACAGGAAUGCCAAAGUGUGGAGUGAUCAUGUGUGGAUCAAGGACUGGAAUGUAGCCCACCCACAACUACGGUGGGAAGGACCCCAGACCAUCAUUUUGACGACUCUCACAGCAUGAAAAUAGAAGGAUUCCCAGCCUGGAUCAAUCACAGUCAUGUAUCAUCUACAUUGUCUGAGACCUGAGAGGUGAGACUGAGCCUGGUGGACCCCUGCAAAGUGACAUUGAGAAAGAUGGCAAGCCCUGCUACAGUCACAACCAGAAGCUUACUGUUGUAUGCAUGGCAAAAGAAUGAGGAUACUCAUCAUGGGAUUUAUUCUCCUUAAAAUUUGUACUUCUAUAAUAAAGACUGAUUUUUCC